rnacentral:lncRNA from 1 species
GAGAAGAUCUCAAAAAGAGGAGCUAUUCUUGAACUCAGCAAAUCAAGGAGAAUUUCAAAGUCACAAAAAUUCAAGUUCCUUUUAAUCUCUAUUCUACUUUUAGCAAGCAUUGUAUUUCUGAGUGAAUUAUUCUGUAAGCAACAAAAAAAAAAAUUAAUAUGGUGAGCCUCUGUAUGAAAAGAUUAAAAAAAAAAAGAGAAAGAAUUGAGUGUAGAUUUAUGAUUCAAUCAUCAACGCAAUGUACAACUACAAAUCACUCAAGAAUUAUAAGAGAACACUCUUGCAACCUCAAGGGAC